UAGGGAAUCUUCCACAAAUGGACGCAAGUCUGAUGGAGCAACGCCGCGUGAGUGAAGAAGGGUUUCGGCUCGUAAAGCUCUGUUGUUAAAGAAGAACGUGGGUAAGAGUAACUGUUUACCCAGUGACGGUAUUUAACCAGAAAGCCACGGCUAACUACGUGCCAA
rnacentral:rRNA from 1 species